rnacentral:rRNA from 1 species
ACGCCGCGUGAGCGAUGAAGGCCUUCGGGGUGUAAAGCUCUUUCGGCCGGGACGAUAAUGACGGUACCUGUAGAAGAAGCUGCGGCUAACUCCGUGCCAGCAGCCGCGGUAAUACUUAGGGCGCGAGCGUUGUUCGGAAUUACUGGGCGUAAAGAGUGUGUAAGCGGUGCUCUAAGUUCGGUGUGAAAUCUCCUGGCUUAACUGGGAGGGUGCGCCCGAAACUGGAAUGCUGGAUGGUGGGAGAGGAAAGCGGAAUUCCUGGUGUAGCGGUGAAAUGCGUAUAUAUCAGGAGGAACACCUGUGGUGUAGACGGCUUUCUGGACCAUUGGUGACGCUGAGACACGAAAGCGUGGGUAGCAAACAGGAUUAAAUACCCUGGUAGUCCACGCCCUAAACGAUGCUUGCUUGGUGUCGGCCAUUC